UUAAAUGUGGGCUCUCAAAUGAGA
rnacentral:piRNA from 1 species